rnacentral:lncRNA from 1 species
UUAUAUCGCUCCUGCUUAUAAAGCUAGGCUUUUGACUUUCAGAAGUAGGUUUAGCAGCUAUAGAAAUGAGUCCUGGAUUUUAUAUAAAUUGAUUAACUGUUGAGUAUAUCUUAAUUUGCACUUAUCCUAAAGUGAUAUCUGAUGCCUGGUGGUGACCAUCAAGUAAUGUCAUCAUGGACAGUCGGUCAUGAAGAAGCCCAGCUGAAGUACAUUAUAUGUAUGUAUUUAUUUACUAGGUUCAUAGAAGUAGAAUGUGCAGUUGAGGGUGCAGGAUGUGUGGAAUUAAAAGUAAGGAGGUAUAAAAAAUAUGAAAAGAACACAAAUCUAGCAUAUAUACCAUUUUCCAACAUGCAACUUCACUUCUCACCUUUUCAGAGACUUGCCACGUGGUACAAUUCAUGCUGCCCCGUGUUGCUUCCUUUCCUCGGCCUCUCCACACACCUGUAUCAUUGUAAUUCUCCCUUUCCCUCCACUCUCUUGCCAUCUCUCUAUUGUUGGCUCCCCUCUGUUCUUUCCUUCCUUUUUCACCUUGGAAAUCAUGAAGUCUUCAGCAUAGAUUGUGAUAGAUGGAUAAUUAAUUAUGCAAAGGCCAACAUACUACAGACACCCUCUCUUAUCUGUGUAUAAUAGCUGGAUUUCUACUCUCCCUGAAAAGUUUUUGACAUUAUUUCACCAGAGAACAUCUCACUAAUUAAAAUAACCCAUUUUACUACCAUAUUUGCGAUGUAUUUUGUGUCAAUUUUCCAUUUUCCAGUAUGUAAAUUUUUG